CCUACGGGAGGCAGCAGUAGGGAAUCUUCCGCAAUGGACGAAAGUCUGACGGAGCAACGCCGCGUGAGUGAUGAAGGCUUUCGGGUCGUAAAACUCUGGUCUAAGUGUAGGGAAGAACAAGUACGAGAGUAACUGCUCGUACCUUGACGGUACCUAACCAGAAAGCCACGGCUAACUACGUGCCAGCAGCCGCGGUAAUACGUAGGUGGCAAGCGUUAUCCGGAAUUAUUGGGCGUAAAGCGCGCGCAGCCGGUUUCUUAAGUCUGAUGUGAAAGCCCACGGCUCAACCGUGGAGGGUCAUUGGAAACUGGGGAACUUGAGUGCAGAAGAGAAAAGCGGAAUUCCACGUGUAGCGGUGAAAUGCGUAGAGAUGUGGAGGAACACCAGUGGCGAAGGCGGCUUUUUUGGUCUGUAACUGACGCUGAGGCGCGAAAGCGUGGGGAGCAAACAGGAUUAGAUACCCUGGUAGUCCACGCCGUAAACGAUGAGUGCUAAGUGUUAGAGGGUUUCCGCCCUUUAGUGCUGCAGCUAACGCAUUAAGCACUCCGCCUGGGGAGUACGGUCGCAAGACUGAAACUCAAAGGAAUUGACGGGGAGCCCGUCAUCAAGCGAGAUGGAGCAUGUCACGGUUUAAUUCGAAGCAACGCGAAGAACCUUAC
rnacentral:rRNA from 1 species